rnacentral:rRNA from 1 species
AUUGAACGCUGGCGGCAGGCUUAACACAUGCAAGUCGAGCGGGGGAAGGUAGCUUGCUACUGGACCUAGCGGCGGACGGGUGCGUAAUGCUUAGGAAUCUGCCUAUUAGUGGGGGACAACAUCCCGAAAGGGAUGCUAAUACCGCAUACGUCCUACGGGAGAAGGCAGGGGAUCUUCGGACCUUGCGCUAAUAGAUGAGCCUAAGUCGGAGUAGCUAGUUGGUGGUGUAAAGGCCUACCAAGGCGACGAUCUGUAGCGGGUCAGAGAGGAUGAUCCGCCACACUGAGACUGAGACACGGCCCAGACGACUACGGAGGGCAGCAGUGGGGAAUAUUGGACAAUGGGGGGAACCCUGAUCCAGCCAUGCCGCGGGUGUGAAGAAGGCCUUAUGGUUGUAAAGCACUUUAAGCGAGGAGGAGGCUACUUUAGUUAAUACCUAGAGAUAGUGGACGUUACUCGCAGAAUAAGCACCGGCUAAGUUCGUGCCAGCCGCCGCCGUAA